UGGCUCAGUGGUAGAGUGCUUGCCUCACAUGCAUGAGGCCCUGGGUUCGAUUUCUCAG
rnacentral:tRNA from 1 species